GGUUAGACGCAAUAACACGUUCUCACGUUGCUCCAAUAAUGUUGCAAUGAAAAAAGAAAAAAUAAAACGAUAGUGAUGCAUAAUUAUGUUUCCUGAUUGAUCAUUAAAGCUGAUAAGACUAACAUGAACAUCCGGAGGCCUUGGUGUUGUCGAAGUGAACGAAAGUAACGGCCGGGGUUGCGUAAGUCUCGACAGUGUCUCCCGGGUAGUAGUUAUUUGAUCCCGUGCGUUAUCGAAAGACUCAAGAGGGAAUAUGGCGGAGGUGGAAACAGCGUAUGUACUCAGCAGGCGGCAAAUCCGUCAGAUGCGGGGGUGGUGAGAAAGAGAAGAGAAACAAAUUGGAGGAGAUGAGGAUUGAGGUGGAGAAGAAGGGUAAAGGAGACGUCUUGUUGGCCUUGAACUUGGCUUUUCUGAAGAGAGAACCGAGCCGUACGAUCGCGAAGGCCGAGUCUGACGCGCCAUUGCAAUUUUAGAUUCCGAACGUCGACGGAAACUACCGACGUCGACGACGUUAACCGCAAUGGCAUCGGCCUUGAAAUCUACCGCUGCGAAUUAUUUUUUCGUACAAAUUUCAUCGACGAAAAUAAGAUCUUCAAUUGCUAAACACGGGAUUCUUCAUUUUAUUAAUCAGGAAGAGAAUGGAUACAUCUCAAUUGACCAUCAUGUAUUAUCAUAUAAAUUGCUAUGCAGGUGGAAGAGAUACUACUUGUGCAUCAAGAGGGUGUUACUAUGCAUUGAAAGGGAAAUUUUGGUUUAAUGGAAAAAUAGUAAAAUUUAUUUUAAAUCUUGAUUACCAAAGCGCACAAUGACCGUGAUUUAUUUUAAUCCUUUGUAGCCUAUGAUCUUGGAAAAAUUAAUUAUGUUGAUAAUGAGAAAUAUUACGUAAGACUAAAAAGGGUUUAAUAUGAUCAAAAAUUUUCAUAGAAAUUGUAUAGAUAAAAUGAUAAGAAUCAGUCCAUCAACAUUGCAGUGGAAGAUCUUGUUAUUAUUAAAUAUGAUCGUAAGUAUCCUAACUUCCGGCGAUCACUACAUCGAAAUUUUUCAAGGUUCUACAACGAGCAUUGAUGACUUGUCGGGCUCGUUUUCAAACUGGUUGAUUAUGUAAGUGUGAGAUAAAAAAAAAGUUAAAAGCAAAGAAGUUUUUAC